rnacentral:rRNA from 1 species
GACGAACGCUGGCGGCGUGCUUAACACAUGCAAGUCGAACGGUGAACCUCUUCGGAGGGGAUCAGUGGCGAACGGGUGAGUAACACGUGGGCAACCUGCCCCCGGCUCUGGGAUAACUCCAAGAAAUUGGGGCUAAUACCGGAUGUUCACCGCUUCCCGCAUGGGUGGUGGUGGAAAGGGUUUCCGGCUGGGGAUGGGCCCGCGGCCUAUCAGCUUGUUGGUGGGGUAGUGGCCUCCCAAGGCGACGACGGGUAGCCGGCCUGAGAGGGUGACCGGCCAACAUGGGAUUGGCGAGCGAGCAGGGGUGAUACGGGAGGCAGCAGUGGGGGAUGGUGCGGGACGGGCUGAGGCCGUACGCAGUGGAGCAGCGGGGGGGAUAACGGCCUGCGGAGUGGAAAACUCUAUCCCCAGGCACGAAGCGAAAGUGACGGUACCUUCAGAAGAAGCACCGGCCAACUACGUG